CACGUAGUUAGCCGGUGCUUAUUCUUCAGGUACCGUCAUUAGCUCCUAAUAUUAGUAAGAGCCGUUUCUUCCCUGACAAAAGUGGUUUACAACCCGAAGGCCUUCUUCCCACAUGCGGCAUGGCUGGAUCAGGCUUGCGCCCAUUGUCCAAAAUUCCCCACUGCUGCCUCCCGUAGGAGUCUGGGCCGUGUCUCAGUCCCAGUGUGGCUGGUCGUCCUCUCAGACCAGCUACAGAUCGUCGCCUUGGUAGGCCUUUACCCCACCAACUAGCUAAUCUGAUAUCGGCCGCUCCAAUAGCGCGAGGUCUUGCGAUCCCCCGCUUUCACCCUCAGGUCGUAUGCGGUAUUAAUCCGGCUUUCGCCGGGCUAUCCCCCACUACUGGGCACGUUCCGAUAUAUUACUCACCCGUUCGCCACUCGCCACCAGGAUUGCUCCCGUGCUGCCGUUCGACUUGCAUGUGUAAGGCAUGCCGCCAGCGUUCAAUCUGAGCCAGGAUCAAA
rnacentral:rRNA from 1 species